rnacentral:rRNA from 1 species
ACGACCGUACCGCAAACCGACACUGGUGCGCGUGAUGAGUAUUCUCAGGCGCUUGAGAGAACUCUGGAGAAGGAACUCGGCAAAUUGACACCGUAACUUCGGAAGAAGGUGUGCCUUUAGUAGGUGAAGUUGUACAAAUGGAGCCGAAUGAGGCCGCAGAGAAUCGGUGGCUGCGACUGUUUAUUAAAAACACAGCACUCUGCAAAGACGAAAGUCGACGUAUAGGGUGUGACGCCUGCCCGGUGCUGGAAGAUUAAAUGAUGGGGUGCAAGCUCUUGAUUGAAGUCCCAGUAAACGGCGGCCGUAACGAUAACGGUCCUAAGGUAGCGAAAUUCCUUGUCGGGUAAGUUCCGACCUGCACGAAUGGCGUAACGAUGGCCACACUGUCUCCUCCCGAGACUCAGCGAAGUUGAAGUGUUUGUGAUGAUGCAAUCUCCCCGCGGAAAGACGGAAAGACCCCAUGAACCUUUACUGUAGCUUUGUAUUGGACUUUGAACAGAUCUGUGUAGGAUAGGUGGGAGGCUUUGAAGUAAGGUCGCUAGAUCUUAUGGAGCCGACGUUGAAAUACCACCCUGGUGUGUUUGAGGUUCUAACCUUGGCCCGUGAUCCGGGUUGGGGACAGUGUAUGGUGGGCAGUUUGACUGGGGCGGUCUCCUCCCAAAGUGUAACGGAGGAGUUCGAAGGUACGCUAGGCACGGUCGGAAAUCGUGCUGAUAGUGCAUUGGCAUAAGCGUGCUUGACUGCGAGACUGACAAGUCGAGCAGGUACGAAAGUAGGACAAAGUGAUCCGGUGGUUCUGUAUGGAAGGGCCAUCGCUCAACGGAUAAAAGGUACUCUGGGGAUAACAGGCUGAUACCGCCCAAGAGUUCAUAUCGACGGCGGUGUUUGGCACCUCGAUGUCGGCUCAUCACAUCCUGGGGCUGAAGCCGGUCCCAAGGGUAUGGCUGUUCGCCAUUUAAAGUGGUACGCGAGCUGGGUUUAGAACGUCGUGAGACAGUUCGGUCCCUAUCUGCCGUGGACGUUUGAGAUUUGAGAGGGGCUGCUCCUAGUACGAGAGGACCGGAGUGGACGAA